CGUAAGGUAAAAGGGGAGUAGCUUUUACUGUAAAAGCCGUCAAUUCAGGUUUUUCACCUCGGCUUUACAGGCAACGGAUUUUGUUGUUAGCCAGACCUAUACCACAAAA
rnacentral:sRNA from 1 species